rnacentral:rRNA from 1 species
AUUGAACGCUGGCGGCAGGCCUAACACAUGCAAGUCGAACGAGUGGCGGACGGGUGAGUAAUGUCUGGGAACUGCCUGAUGGAGGGGGAUAACUACUGGAAACGGUAGCUAAUAACGCAUAACCUCAGAUGUGGCCAGAGGGGAUUGGCUUGUUGGUGGGGGAAUGGCUCACCAAGGCGACGACCACUAGCUGGUCUGAGUGGAUGACCCGCCACACUGGAACUGAGACACGGUCCAGACUCCUACGGGAGGCAGCAGUGGGGAAUAUUGCACAAUGGGCGCAAGCCUGAUGCAGCCAUGCCGCGUGUGUGAAGAAGGCCUUCGGGUUGUAAAGUACUUUCAGCGGGGAGGCGUUACCCGACGAAGAAGCACCGGCUAACUCCGUGCCAGCAGCCGCGGUAAUUC